rnacentral:rRNA from 1 species
CCUACGGGUGGCAGCAGUGGGGAAUAUUGGACAAUGGGCGAAAGCCUGAUCCAGCCAUGCCGCGUGUGUGAAGAAGGCCUUCGGGUUGUAAAGCACUUUCAGUGGGGAAGAAAGCCUUGGGGCUAAUACCCUCGAGGAAGGACAUCACCCACAGAAGAAGCACCGGCUAACUCCGUGCCAGCAGCCGCGGUAAUACGGAGGGUGCGAGCGUUAAUCGGAAUUACUGGGCGUAAAGCGCGCGUAGGCGGUCUGAUAAGCCGGUUGUGAAAGCCCCGGGCUCAACCUGGGAACGGCAUCCGGAACUGUCAGGCUAGAGUACAGGAGAGGAAGGUAGAAUUCCCGGUGUAGCGGUGAAAUGCGUAGAGAUCGGGAGGAAUACCAGUGGCGAAGGCGGCCUUCUGGACUGACACUGACGCUGAGGUGCGAAAGCGUGGGUAGCAAACAGGAUUAGAUACCCGUGUAGUC